AUACGGAGGGUGCAAGCGUUAAUCGGAAUUACUGGGCGUAAAGCGCGCGUAGGCGGUUUGGUAAGUCGGAUGUGAAAGCCCCGGGCUCAACCUGGGAAUUGCAUUCGAUACUGCCAGACUAGGGUAUGGUAGAGGGAAGUGGAAUUCCGGGUGUAGCGGUGAAAUGCGUAGAUAUCCGGAGGAACACCAGUGGCGAAGGCGACUUCCUGGACCAAUACUGACGCUGAGGUGCGAAAGCGUGGGGAGCAAACAGGAUUAGAAACCCUAGUAGUCC
rnacentral:rRNA from 1 species